CGCGCCGGUGCGGGUGCGUGCGUGAGCGUGCGCGUCCCCGCCGCCGCUGCUGCCGGUGCAGCUCCCGCGCCCGCCGCCGCCCGGGUUCCAGGCCGAGGAUCGUCGGCCGCGCAGAGCGCCGCGGAGCGGGAGGCGAGCCGCGAGCCGGCGGGGCGGGCCGACUCCCAGACUAACUUAACAUGGCCGACCAGAGGCAGCGGUCCCUCUCCACGUCUGGGGAAUCCCUCUACCACGUGCUCGGACUGGACAAGAAUGCCACCUCUGAUGACAUCAAGAAGUCCUACCGGAAGCUGGCCCUGAAGUAUCACCCUGACAAGAACCCCGACAACCCGGAGGCGGCAGACAAGUUCAAGGAGAUUAACAACGCUCAUGCCAUCCUGACGGAUGCUACCAAGAGGAACAUCUACGACAAGUACGGCUCACUGGGGCUCUACGUGGCCGAGCAGUUUGGGGAGGAGAAUGUUAACACCUACUUCGUGCUAUCCAGCUGGUGGGCCAAGGCCCUGUUUGUCGUCUGCGGUCUGCUCACCUGCUGCUACUGCUGCUGCUGCCUCUGCUGCUGCUUCAACUGCUGCUGUGGCAAGUGCAAGCCCAAAGCCCCUGAGGGCGAGGAGGCCGAGUUCUACGUGUCGCCCGAGGACCUGGAGGCACAGCUGCAGUCGGAUGAGCGGGGAGGGCACUGACGCUGCCGCGGGGUUUGGCGGCCGGCACUGUUGAGGUGUGAACGUGGACACGGAGGUAACAGAGGCCACGGACACACCCAUCAUCAUACAGCCGGUGUCCGCCACAGAGACCACCCAGCUCACGGCCGACUCCCACCCCAGCUACCACACCGACGGGUUCAACUAAGCGCAGGAGGGCCAGCGCCCACCCACCUCGACCCUAGAAUCAUGAACUGUAGUCGCGGGUGAGGCACCGGCCCCCCCCAUCUGCGUGAAGUGCUAGCAUGCAGUCCGUGAAGCUGUGUCGCCGGUCUCCUGUCCUUCCUCAGUUAGUAGCAUGUGUGCAUUCGUCCACUGGUCCUCCAGCCGGUCAGUCCAGCGAGGCUGACCCAGCCACCAGGUGCCGCCCCACCCCCUGCUGAGCUGGGGUCCCCUCCCCUCUGUGCUGGGCCAGGACCCCCCCCACGCCUCUCCCCUCUGUGCUGGGCUGGGAUUCCCCACCCCCCACACCUCUCCCUUCUGUUCUGAGUCUUGGUCUUUCCCGCACCCCUCCUCUCUGUGCUGGGCUCUUGCCUUGGGUGUAGCCUGGGUGGGGUUUCUGGCCUUGGGCAGGGACCAUGGGUGGGUCCUGUUCAGAGUGGGCAGCGGAGUUUCCCUGCCGGCAGAGGUCUGCUGUCUGUGUCCCCACACCUUUCCUGGGAGCCCCUGUGGGCACCAUCCUCCACAUUCCUUCAGGCCAGCCUGUCCUCCAUGUGUCCCUUCUGGACCUGUGAGAGUUAUCAGUGGCCGCCCCAGCACCCGAGUCAUGGUCAGAGCCCGGAGGUCCCUUGCAAGCGCUGUGUGAGCACUCCUCAGUAGUGAUGGACCACCCCAGAACUCUUGGCCCCACCCCAUUGCCCAUGGUUCAGACAGAUCCAAAGACACCAGGUUCCCCAAGGAAGGACCAGGCAGGCCCCUGGAGGCUAGCAGCUGGACUGGACAUCCCUCUGUGUCACACAUGUGUGGGUGGCACCUGGGUGCUGGCUUGGGGUGCCGGGUGCCAUGGCUGUACAGAGUGCGUUCAGGUGGGCCAGAGUCAGAAUGGGGCCUGCCUUGGCAGGGAUGCUCACUGGCAAUCCCAGGUCCAGCCUCACUGCCUCAAUGAGGCCCCAGCCAACCCAGGUCCCCAGAAGGCUGUGUCUGCCCAUCUCACUUUGUGAAUGACCGUGAAGAUGGCACCACCUGGUUCCUGGUGGAGACGUGGCACUGAGCCAACGAAAUUGCGUGCCAGGUGAUCGAUACCGGCGGCAGUGAGGAAAGGGAAGUGAGCUCUUCAAAUCAGAGAACAGAGAGGCAGGCGGAGGAGCGGCCAGAGGAGGGCUUCUAUGGCCCCAGGAACCAGGGCUGGAGCCAGAAGCAGAAGUGGCCAGCUGCCCAUUCAGGGGCACUCUCCUGGCUCUUGGUCAGCGCUCAGCAGCAGGGCGGGCAGUGGCUCGGGUUGGCUGAGUCGUUUCCUAGGCGGAGCCUGUGAACUAAAUAAAUCAUGUAGAAUUCGUGAAACCAAAUAAACCAGCUGCUGUGGA